CAGAUUGCUGUAGAGACCAAGGUCCACAAGUUAUGCACAAAACAUAUACAGCACAGGCAGACAAUACAAGCUUCCCCAUAAUGCUCCAUCAGUGUUGCUCAAUCCUUAGUUUAAGGGACCACUUCUAAGGCUGAGAGAGUAAUUCAGUCUCCCCAAUCCAUUUAAAUUGGCCUUUC
ensembl:misc_RNA